GGCUGUCUGGUCUUGUACCAAUAGAGAAAGAUGCACCUGGGCUGGAGAGAUGGCUCAGCCGUUAAAGGCUAGGCUCACAACCAAAUAUAUA
rnacentral:miRNA from 14 species